UACAGAGGGUGCGAGCGUUAAUCGGAAUUACUGGGCGUAAAGGGCGCGUAGGCGGUUUAUCAAGUGAGAUGUGAAAUCCCCGAGCUUAACUUGGGAACUGCCAUUGAUACUAUCAGUCUUGAAUACUGUGGAGGUUAGCGGAAUAUGUCAUGUAGCGGUGAAAUGCUUAGAUAUGACAUAGAACACCAAUUGCGAAGGCAGCUGGCUACACAAUUAUUGACACUGAGGCUCGAAAGCGUGGGGAUCAAACAGG
rnacentral:rRNA from 1 species